CGACACCAGCUGAAGCCGCGUCCCACCGAGUCCCUUGCUGCAAUUUGGGAGUGCUUCUGUUCUGUUUUCUGGGAUCCAAGCCAUUCUGAAUCUCUGAUUGUGCUGUCCAUCAGGGUCCAAUGAAAACAGGGUCAAUCCUGUUCCCGGACCGGAAAACAGGGUGGGCCGGGAACGGGGUCCAAUGAAAACGGGGUAGGGAACGGGGUCCAAAAA